GAAAGCGGUGCUAAUACCGGAUAAGACCACAGCCGUUUCGGCGGCAGAGGUAAAAGCUGACCUCUCCAUGGAAGUUAGCGUUCGAAGACGGGCCCGCGUCCUAUCAGCUUGUUGGUGGGGUAAAGGCCUACCAAGGCAGCGACGGGUAGCUGGUCUGAGAGGAUGAUCAGCCACACUGGAACUGGAACACGGUCCAGACUCCUACGGGAGGCAGCAGUGAGGAAUUUUGCGCAAUGGGGGAAACCCUGACGCAGCAACGCCGCGUGGGUGAAGAAGGCUUUCGGGUCGUAAAGCCCUGUCAGGUGGGAAGAAACUCUUCAGUACUAAUAAUGCUGAAGCCUGACGGUACCACCAGAGGAAGCACCGGCCAACUCCGUGCCAGCAGCCGCGGUAAUACGGAGGGUGCAAGCGUUGUUCGGAAUUAUUGGGCGUAAAGAGCGUGUAGGCGGCUUGGUAAGUCAGAUGUGAAAGCCCUGGGCUCAACCCAGGAAGUGCAUUUGAAACUACCAGACUUGAGUACGGGAGAGGAGGGGGGAAUUCCCGGUGUAGAGGUGAAAUUCGUAGAUAUCGGGAGGAAUACCGGUGG
rnacentral:rRNA from 1 species